UACGAAGGGGGCUAGCGUUGCUCGGAAUCACUGGGCGUAAAGCGCACGUAGGCGGAUUCUUAAGUCAGGGGUGAAAUCCUGGAGCUCAACUCCAGAACUGCCUUUGAUACUAGGAAUCUCGAGUCCGGGAGAGGUGAGUGGAACUGCGAGUGUAGAGGUGAAAUUCGUAGAUAUUCGCAAGAACACCAGUGGCGAAGGCGGCUCACUGGCCCGGUACUGACGCUGAGGUGCGAAAGCGUGGGGAGCAAACAGG
rnacentral:rRNA from 1 species